GAUGAACGCUGGCGGCGUGCCUAAUACAUGCAAGUCGAGCGAACGGACGAGGAGCUUGCUUUUCUGAUGUUAGCGGAGGACGGGUGAGUAACACGUGGAUAACCUACCUAUAAGACUGGGAUAACUUCGGGAAACCGGAGCUAAUACCGGAGAAUAUUUUGAACCGCAUGGUGCAAUAGUGAAAGACGGUCUUGCUGUCACUUAUAGAUGGAUCCGCGCUGCAUUAGCUAGUUGGUAAGGUAACGGCCUACCAAGGCAACGAUGCAUAGCCGACCUGAGAGGGUGGUCGGCCACCUGGGAACUUGGACACGGUCCAUACUCCUACGGGAGGCAGCAGUAGGGAAUCUUCCGCAGUGGGCGAAAGCCUGACGGAGCAACCCCGCGUGUGUUAUGAAGGCGUUCCGAGCGUAAAGAUCUGUUAUUAGUGAAGAACAUAUUUGUAAGUAACUGAGCACUUCGUGACGGUACCUAGUCAGAAAGCCACGGCUAACUACGUG
rnacentral:rRNA from 1 species